UUGUUGGCGUGCUCAACAAUUGAUUUACUUGUCGAUAUUCCUGUAUCAAAUGUCCGCUCUAGCCUACAAAGCUUUAUUUUGGACUUUUUCCAAAUUUUGAAAACAUUUGUUUGAUAAACCUUUAUCAAGAUAACAUAUGUAGUACAUUUAUUCUUCACUUUUUUUCAUGGAUCUCAAUUGCACAACGAAGAAGGGCACCGAUCUAUGGAAUAUGAAGGAUUUAAAAGAUAAGUUGGAGAGUUAGUUUAAAGACAUAUUUUAGUAUAAUCGUGCUUGAUAUUUUAGUUUGAAAUGAUACUAUUUUUCAAACUUUUGGUCCUUUACAAUUAUUUAAAUAGUAAUCUAUGAAGUACGAUUCUUACAAAUUUAUUUUAUUUACUUGUAUUAGUGGCAAAAUUGUAUCAAUGGCUUCGUUCUAUUAGUUAUCCGGUUUAUUUGUAAUACAUAAUUUGAAUUUUAAUAUCUACUGGUGAUUUUUCGAACUUGAAAUAAACCGUUAUUUGCAUGUUGUUUUAUGACCCAAACAAGAAAUCCUCACUCAGAGUAACGUCACCAGCUCAUACGUGUAGAACACGGACAAUAUUUUAGGGUUAUUUAUUUUUUUAGUCUUUUGAACAAGUCCCCGUCCUGUUUUAAAACUGCGCAUGACAGGAAGAGUUUUAUGAAAACACACCAUUUUUAUUUUCGUUUCGUUUUUAGUUUUUAUACUUGUUUCGUUUCAAAUAGAAUUUGGUUAAAAGAAAUCUCAUUUGUUAAUUUCUUUAAUUAAUUAUGAUGACGUUUUAAAAUGACACAUGUUAGUAAAUAUAGUAUUCAUCCGCAAUCGAAAGCAUUUUAGCUGCUUUUGUAAGAAAUACUUGAAGUCGUGAUUGAUAUUUCACCGUAUCAAGUGCUUGAAUUUACAAAUCAAUCAUUGUUUGAAGAACCGUGUCAUAUAUAUAUAUUGUAAAUACCUCUUUAUUGGUCUUGAACAAUUUAAUAAACAGCUUAUUUUUAAUUCCUAUAUUUAUUGGUCUAGGUAACCCAGUGUUUGAGGGGACUCGUUUUGCAACCUGAAAGUUGAAAGUGAGACUUAACACUUUUAACAUAGAUAGUAAUUGUUCCUUCGUCAGUUGCUCGUCAUUGGAAGUGAAAACCACUGGUCUUUUGGAGAUGUCCGUUUCAAAGAAGCUGUUUGCACGAUAAUAGACCCUUCAAUAGUACGCCUUUGAGCACUAUGCAAAACAAGCUGGUGACGUCUCGAGUGAGACGGAAAACAACAUAUAAUUUGAUACAAACAAGACAAAUAAUUCAUUUCCUUUCAGAACACCUGCCACCACCAUCUUCAUUAUAUGACAAAAGAACAAUUUGCAGGUGAAUAAGACAGAGAGGCUAAAAACUCUGGCGAAAUCUUCAAAUCUACCUUGUUGCCACCUAUUAAGAUGUUGGCAUUGUUGUGCAGGUUUUGAAAAGUUUGACCGAUAGAGCUACCGGAUCAACGUCUGCCACUUUUAAAGGUUUUAUGUUGAUGAGGCAUGGCUAUAAAUACACAUUAUAUUAAGAAGACAAUAUGUACAGUGGACACUCAUUUCCAUGUAUUCAUAUGCUCUAAUAAUCAAAUAAAGGGAUAUAAUUUGAGUUGGUGUU